CAGCAGAGGCCGAGGGGAGUGCCUGAGCGGGGCGUUGUCAGCAGACACGGGACUGCCUACAGGAGCAGCAGCUAAAAGAAAGGGGAUCCAGGAGAAGCGGCAGAGACACCUUUUCCUGCUGGGCAGAGGGCAUGUUAAGCACCAGGGCCCUCCAGGCCGCCGUCCCCUCCCAGGCUCCUCCCGCGACCUGAUGGGCAGUGCGCCCUUGGACCCCCGGAAUCCCUCCCGGCCGGCCCAGAGCAAGAGGAGCCCCGCCAGGCUCCGCGGACCUUACAAAGGAAUUCAAUUCAACAUGCCAGUAACACUGAGCAACACCUGCCUAGCUUUGUGGUUGUAUGGAAGCAGGGGCAAGCAACAGUCACUUGUAUAACUUGUCACGAUGAGAAGAAAAAGUUGAGAGAAAAUGUUUUAAGAAGAAGUGGAUUUGACAAAGAAUCACCUAAUUUAACUGUGGAAGUAUACUGGAUAAGCCUCAAUCGAGAAGACUGAUUUGUUGGCAAUCUGAGAUUUAAACCUUUCAGCAACAUCCUAAUAUCUAAAUAUCAACAUCAAUAACUAGUCAAUUGCAGAUAACAUAUUGGCUACCACCAGGGUGGUUAUCACCAGCUCCAUAUCUGUCAUCUACAACUUAUGAAAUAUUAUUCAAAGUGUAAAGUGGAUUGUGGUACUCAAGCUUCAGAUACAAAGGAGUUAAUGCCUGAGUAAAUAUGAUUUUUAAACUAUUGGAUUGAGAAUUGCAAAGAACCCUCAGCACAUAAGGACUACGUCCAAACUCUUGCAUUAAGAGACUUAGUCAAUCCCAGCACAGCUUCUAGUGCCUACAGCCACGUCCCUGGGAGGAAUCAGAGCCCUUCUGAGCUCCUGCCUGGCUCAGGGUUGUCAAAAGAAGUUACUGUUUAUUCUAUCCAAUACCUGAGGAAAGGUCCC
ensembl:lncRNA